CAGCCUUCAUUGCACUAAUGAGUAAUGCGAUUCCACCACAGGCAGAUGGAGAGGACAUAGAAGUGCCAUUCAUCAGCAUGCGCUUUUGAAGAGUCCAUGUAGGAACAGGAGCAACAGCCCCGCCAGGAGCACUAACACAGACUCCAAGAUCUCCAUCUGCUGUUGGUCCUCGGCUGGACCAAGUGUAUUCAAGUCCUUCAGAAGGAGGUUGUACUACACAAUGAGCACCAGCAGCCAUUGCAGGAGAGACAUAUGCACCAAUUCCUAUAAUGCUGGAAGUUGUACCACCGGGUGCACCAACAGUGCUUAACGCUGGACCACUAUUACCAGCACUACUCACAAAUAUAAGACGGUGCUUAUUCACCACUUCAUUAACAAGGUCAACAAAGCGACCAUAAUCUGGCAGUAAUGUAGGUUCUCCAUAACUCAUAUUGAUCAGGUCACAUUUAUGCUCCACAGCAGCAAUCAGAGACCUUGUCAAGCCAGUGCCUGUCUCCAUUGAACCUAAACGUGAGUCUCCAAUUUUGCAUGAUAUUAACUGUGCUCCAGGUGCAACUCCAUUCAAUAAUGGCUCCUUUGGGUGGAAGGCAGUAGCAAUACCAGCAACGUGAGUUCCAUGAGGGGAGCUAUCUGUUACGAUACUUAAGAUAUUUCCCUCAUCAUAUAUAUUAAGGACAAAUGAGCAUGCAUCCAACUUGCUAAACACACCAAAUUUCCUUUCGGUCCUAUAAUUUGUAAGAGGUAUGAAAUCAGCAAGCCUUCCACAAUCCGGGUCAUCCUCAAGACUUUGUGUAUCAAGAGCAGCCCUCCACAAUGCUCCAUCAUGCCACACAACAGCAUCUAUGACAGGUCCCUUGUCAUCAUAAUUAUCAGCCUGCUUUCGUAGUAUAUCGAUUCUGUUUUGAAGGUCUUCUCGAACCUUCUUCAAAUUUGCAUCAUCUGGAUUGGAGUGUUUCUGAUUGAAUUCAUCAAGCUGCUUUACAGCCCUAGCAAUUUCUUCCUGGCUUUUCUCAUCCCAGUUCUUUUUUCUUUCUUUCUUCAAACGAGAAGUUAAUGAAUCGGUAAAUAGCUCAUACACCAACUUAUAACCGACAUGCCAUUCACCAGAAGGAUUUUUCCAUGAGGAAUUGACAACUAGAGGAGCUCCUGAAGCCCCUCGAAUACAACCAUCAGCAUUGGCCUUCAUAACCUUUGAGGUGUCAAUAUCUCCACUCCCAGUGCAAUCAAUAACAUCGAGGAUCUUCGGCUUCCCAUCCGUGGUCACGUGCAAUCCAGCAGCGGCCGGGUCAACUCCAGAAUCAAAGAUGGCGAUGACGACGCCACGGCCAUCAAACUCGGGGUGAGCGUCGAUGAAACGAUCGGCGCCAAUCUCCUUCUUCGGCAUGAGAGAGGCCAAGAAAGUGGAUUCGUUCAGCUUGAAGCUCCGGAGAGAACCAUUCUCAUCUCCACUUCCUCCGAGACCGCCACCAGAUACUGUGCUAAUAGAGGAACAAGGCAUGGCACUUUUAUAAUUACUCCCACUGCUACUCCAAUGCCUCUCCUUUAUCUCUCUUCUUCUUUUAUUAUUGGCGUUGACGAGCCUUUUGGGUCUGGUGAGUAAAGACGAAGGAGAG
rnacentral:misc_RNA from 1 species